UGGGAGAGGUGGAAUUGCUGUUGGGAGCUGCCAUUGAUGAAGAAGCAGUUGCUAAAAUGGGUGCAGAUGGCCCUAGCAGAGCCAGGAGCCUGUACAACUGCCCACGUUACAGAUCCGAGCCUAAUCACACCAGACACUUGCGACCCAGCAUGGAAAUAACGUGACUGCAGGCGGGUGCCUCGUUAGCACUGGGCGUCCAGUGUCUGAAAGCCAGCGAGAGAGAGCAAGGGCCCUUGCUGACCUGCGGGCACCUGGGGAGAGGAUGAGUGUGAAUGGCUCGGCGGGGACCCGUCAGCGCAGAGGAGCCUCUGGUCCUUCCCGGGCAGGUGAGGCGCCGCACGGCCCCGCGUCGCAGCGCCCUGAUGUGGCCUUCACCGCUGGAGGUUGUGAUUUGCACGUAUGACUUUGCAUUUCAAAGCCUGACUCUCCCCCUCGCCCUCUCGCAGAUGAAAACGAGGAGUAAUUGUACACAUGGCAGGAAGAAAUUCGCUUUAUUCCCAGAGGUGUAAAUUAAUUGAUUCAGCCCAGGAAAAAGACCUGGACACUGUUAGAGCCAGCUCCCUGAAGGCAUCUCCUCUGUGUACGAGUCUGAUCAAAAAUGCAAAUAAGAUCUCGGGAGAAGUGGGAGAGGAUGGAAAGCAAUAAGAAAAUGUAGUAUUAUCAUGAUACAAAUGGGUAGUGCUGCCU